rnacentral:rRNA from 1 species
ACUGCAGUCGAGCGGACUUGAUGGGAGCUUGCUCCUGUCAGUUAGCGGCGGACGGGUGAGUAACACGUGGGCAACCUGCCCUAUAGUUGGGGAUAACUCCGGGAAACCGGGGCUAAUACCGAAUAAUACAUUUCAUCUCCUGUUGAAAUGUUGAAAGAUGGUUUACGCUAUCGCUAUAGGAUGGGCCCGCGGCGCAUUAGCUACUUGGUGAGGUAACGGCUCACCAGGGCGACGAUGCGUAUCCGACCUGAGAGGGUGAUCGGCCACACUGGGACUGAGACACGGCCCAGACUCCUACGGGAGGCACCAGUAGGGAAUCUUCCACAAUGGGCGAAAGCCUGAUGGAGCAACGCCGCGUGAGUGAAGAAGGUUUUCGGAUCGUAAAACUCUGUUGUGAGGGAAGAACAAGUACAGUAAUAACUGGCUGUACCUUGACGGUACCUUAUUAUAAAGCCACGGCUAACUACGUGCCAACAGCCGCGGUAAUACUUAGGUGGCAAGCGUUGUCCGGAAUUAUUGGGCGUAAAGCGCGCGCAGGUGGUCCUUUAAGUCUGAUGUGAGAGCCCACGGCUCAACCGUGGAGGGUCAUUGGAAUCUGGGGGACUUGAGUGCAUAAGAGGAAAGUGGAAUUCCAAGUGUAGCGGUGAAAUGCGUAGAGAUUUGGAGGAACACCAGUGGCGAAGGCGACUUUCUGGUCUGUAACUGACACUGAGGCGCGAAAGCGUGGGGAGCAUGCAGGAUUACAUACCCUGGUAGUUCCACGCCGUAAACGAUGAGUGCUAAGUGUUAGGGGGCUU